rnacentral:lncRNA from 1 species
CACACACACACACACACACACACACACGGCAGUUUUUGUACCUGGGCAUGCAACUGCAUGUGGUCAUGGUUUUGCUUAUCUUCUGCAAACGUCAGAAAAAUGCUACUAAUUUCAAAAUGCCCUAGUCAUCUAGCCUUGCUCUUUCAUCACGCUGUGUUCUCCAUAAAUAAAAGAGUUUUUGUUGGUUGGUUGACUUUAAGGAAAGACAUUUUCUCAUUUAAGCAUACAAGUAUAAUAUGGUGACUUUUCAAAUUAAGGGUCAGGCACAGGCUUUGUUUAAACUUUGACAGCUUGCCCUCUGGGAUUACAUCAUCUGCUCUGUUGGUUGAGCCUUGCAGCCUGGCCCAAACACCUUUCCAAAUUUGGAAACAGAGGUGUAUGCCCAUUGGCCUUGUAGAGAAUAAUAUUACAAUAAUUUCAGCCAGGAUGCCCAAACCUCCUUGAAACCAUCCCAUGGAAGGAGUUCUAGGAGUUUGCACUGUCUGCAUUCCAUAAGCAAAUAACCUUCAAACUGCGCCCACGUGGCCAGGAUUAGUAUUCAUGUUACUCUCCAUGGGAGCCACUGAAGGUCAAGGACAAAGUGUAUGUGGACAUAAAAACAAGCUUCAUAUAUUGUGUGUCAUAGGGGACUGCCCUACCUGCCAAGGGUCUCACUGGAUCUCUGUACUCAUUUCCUGUUGCCAGCUGGUGGACAAUAUGGUGCUAAGAACUCAAGAAGUUGGUCCUCACGUUGAACCUCAGAGGUCACCAAACCUUUCUGGAUAGCUGCUAGGGAGUUUCUGGAGGUGCUCAAUAGUGACAUAUGUCAAGUUGAGAAGGGACAGCUGAUCUUCCAGGGUAGAGAUGGAUCCACUCCCCACUCUCAUAAAGAAGAUGUGGGUUUGUUUGACCUUCACUAUAUAGGAAAAAGCCUCACAAAUUCUUCA